UACGUAGGUGGCAAGCGUUGUCCGGAAUUACUGGGCGUACAGCGCGCGCCGGCGGUCCGCUACGUGCCGUGUGACAGACGUCGGCUUAACCGACGGCGGCCAGGGUACACGGGCGGACUGGAGGCAGAGAGAGGGAUGUGGAAUACCCGGUGGAGCGGUGAAAUGCGUAGAGAUCGGGAGGAACAUCAGUGGCGAAGGCGGCCAUCUGGGACAACACUGACGCUGAAGCACGAAAGCGUGGGGAGCAAACAGG
rnacentral:rRNA from 1 species